UAUGCUUAAUUUCCCCCUUCACCAAAAUCACAGCCAUAGAGAAAACAAACUUUCUUAUGUUUUUAUGUGUUGGCAAAAAAUGUUUCUCAUUGUUAGGUUUAAAAAAGCGAGUAGUGCCAUGAUUCAAAGGCCUCUUUGUUGUCUAAUUAGACCGAAGUAUACUUAUUUUUCGGAUCUACAAUUGUCACUUUUAAAUUCCUGCUAGGUGUUUCAAUUUUGAUCUUUCUCAAAGAAAAUUAGUUUCUUUACUUGAUUUCUUGUUAUGAGUACCAAUGUUUCUAACACCGCCAAUGUCGGUCCCAAGCCCGAAUGAAAAAGGUGGAGGGUUGCUUAAGGCCAUAAAAAGCCAGUGUUGAAAACAUGUUAGUACUCAUAAGCAUGAUCCUAACUGUUUCAUGGUAAGACUAGUCCGUCACAAUAAAUUGAUGCAACAUAUAUUGACCUCUCCAGUUAUUAUGAGAAAUAGAGUUUUCUAUUCCUAAUUCUAACAUUUAAAGUGCCCAUUAGUUCUUUAAAUCAAGGUCUGCAAUACCGAAUGAUACUGCUCGUAUCGGGCGGUACAUAUCGGUCCGUCAAUAGACCAGUACACGGACAGCCCGCUACCGAGCGGUACCAUCAAUUAAGGCAUUAUCGUUAUCGAUUGAGGUGUUAUUAUCGACGGUGAUCGAGGGAGAAGAAAGAAGAGGGAGAAGACGAAGAAAGAAAUAGGAAAAAAAGGUAAAACCUGGAUGUCACCUCUCUCCUCCUCGUCUGUCGACGACUUCUCAUCUGUGCACGGGAGAAGAGGCAUCGGCUUGUGGGGCGGAGAGAAGUGAAGAUUUUUUUUCUUUCUUCUCUUCUUAGGCAAUGUCGCCUCGGGCAUCAUCGUAAUAUUUUUGUUUUUUAGAUGUCGUAAUUUUUUUUUUAUCUGCACGUCACCCCGCAUAGAGGUAAACUGUGCAGCUUACCUAUAUAUAUAUAUAUAUAUAUACAUAUAUAUAUAUACAUACAUAUAUACACACACACACAGCGGUAUACCAAAAUAUCCCACUCGGUAUAUAGUAUCAUACCGUAUCGAAUAAGUCUUGAAAUUUUGGUAUAAUAGAAAAUUUCAAUCCUUGAUUUAAGUGACUUCUUUUUUGGACUAACAUGCAAAUAUCGGGACUGUGUAACUUAUAUAUCAUGAACUAGCAUUGUCCAUAAUGUAAGUUACUCAUAUAAGAAACCAACAAGUAUGCUUUCUAUGGAUGAUAAUUGUUAGGACGGGAAACCACAGCAUGUGGAUAAGGCUCUUAAUGGUGAAAUUUUAUAGGUUGGAUCAAGGUAUGCAAUACCGUACCGUAUUAGUAUUUCGAGGAUGGCUCGGUAUGGUACAGUACCGUAUACCGAGCGGUACGUCAGGGUAUACCGAGCGGUACACCUAAUUUAGGUGUAAGACCCUCAGAAAAUACCUAAAAAUAAAAAAAAAGUUAGGAUAGGAUUUUUAUGUUAGAAAUAAAUAUAGUAAUAGCAUAAGUUUAGUAAAAUUAAUGUAAAUUAGGUAAGAAUAGUACCAUAUAUCUUUUUCAGGAUUUGAAGAAUAUCUUAUGCAAGGUUCAUAUUUCAGUUUAGUACGGAUUAUCCUUAUGUAAACAUACCUCUUGAUUAUAAAGUUCUUCCUUUUAAUCUUCCUAAAUUAGCCUCGAUUCAAUUUACAAAUCGUUGUUUUGUAGAGUUUAGGAGAGAACAAAUGUGAGAGAAAAAGAGUUUGAGAUAGUUUAAGAGAGUAUGAGAAUGUAAUGGAGUGAAAUAAAGGAGAAGAAGGGUUUUUAAAUACCAUAAGAAAGGGUUCCAACGGUCAAUUUGACCAUUGGAGCACUGUAUCACUGUUACCGAGAAGUUUUAAAUAUUUCUUCCUCUUAUUGUAGCAUUGUAGCACUCUAGCAUGUUCUGUCCGGUAGCGGGUGGUCCGCAAACCGGUAUGUCGUCGGACCGGUAUGUAUCGCCCGUACCGGGUGGUAUCAUUCUAAAUUGGUUGGAUCAAGAUUGACAAUCCUUGGAACAUGAUGAGGUAAACUACUCCACUCUAUUUGACUUUAUGAACUAAAACUUGAUGGUUAAUUUUUUUUUUAACUUUUUAUUGGCAGCUGUAAUGACAUAUAUGAAUCUCCAAUUGAAUUGUGAGAGACACGAUGGCUAUGCAGGUCCAUCUUCUCAAAGGAUUUGGACUGCCAUUUAAAUGAACAAGUCUCCACAUUGUUAGUUACAGAUGUUCUUCUGUUUCUUCUUUGCAUUUUGUUCUGUAAUAUUUUGUGUCAAACAUUGAAAUAAUUAUAGAUGAUGUGUUCUAUAUUACUUAAUAGAAAUUCUUUUGCUUUUUGGCUUUCCACGUGUUUAAAAGUGUUCUUUCUUAGUUUAGAGGAUUCCACAAUAAGUUUAUGAAGAAACUAAUGUUAAUUAAAUUAUUUUUUCAUGCAUAUUAUGUGAAUGGAUAUGGUUUCUUAUCAAAUCAAUUUACAACCUGAUUUGGCAAUUUUGUACUUGAAUAGUUGGGUCUGUCUUCAAUAUUUGAUGAAAUUGUUAAAACUGAAGUAACCAGGCACAUGCAACCUACUGAUUACUUGAGCUUGUUUGGGGAAGAAUUCAAAUGAACUGAAGAUUAUUGGGAUGCUUCUUAUUUGAAUGUCUUGGAUAUAUCUGCAGCGGAAGAAGGCAGUCCUCAUGUCUUAUUUGGAUGUGCUUCACAAGCAAAAGCAGCAUGUGUAUUGAUUGAUUUAUGCUUUGGACCAUUAUCACCAUGGAUAUAUACAAUUACUGCAAAGGUUUCAUCUUUUUCCAUAAUAAGUCUACAUAUUAAGUCAACAACUUGUAUUUUUGUAACUGCAUUGACCCUUUUUCAUGUUGAUCUUGCAAUUGAACUUCUGGAGGACCUCUUGGUGUUAUUCAAUGUACUCCUUUUUGUUUUGGGGCCACAUAUGCCAUUUCCUUCAGAUAUUGACCUUUGCAAAUGUUCAUUUCCUAAGGUGGCUGAUCAAGAGUCUUUAGCUGUUUCUUCUAACUUUGUGAUAUGUUCUCAUGGGGCUUCUAGCACAUCCAGUAAUCCGGAUGAAGCAAAGAGAAAGAUUGAUGCAUCUAAAGCUGCCACAAGAAAAGAUGUACUCCAAGAUGCUAAUCUGUAGUUUGCUCCUAGAGAUCUGUCAAAAAUUGUUCUGACAAGUGUUUCAAAUUAUUUUACUGGGGACUGGAUCAGAUUGAAUUUCAGUUGUGGUGUUUCAGAGGUGAAUAAGAUUUCAAAUAACAACUUUCAGAAUAUUGGUUUCUUUGCUGAUUACUUGUAUUCACAAGCAGAUUAUCUACAACUUGUAAACUAUCAAGAUUCGGUAUAUAGGGCUUCCCAAUUUGAACAUUUGGCAGCUGAUUUGUGUUCCCAGCAUGACAACCCCAGAAAGCCAUGAAGCUGCAAUAGAAUCCAUACUCUUGGCUGCAGAAUGUUAUGCCAACUCAUUCUUUAUAAUCGAUUUCAUAUGGAUGCAAUUCAGAGCUUAUGAAUCAGAUGAAAAUCAUUGGAUCCAAAUUCAUGAAUAAAAAUGGAUUAGUGGUGUUUUAUGAAGACCUUAAGAGAUGUAAUGUCAAUCUGGAGACAAUAGCUUAUCUUGAAAGUAAAAGAGAUAUAACUGUUCUACAAAUUCUGCUUCCGCUAAACUGGACCUCGAAUCUGAGAGAAUUUUGGCUCUUUGGAAACCUUGUACAUAUUAUUUUGAAGAUAAUCAGUAGGCUUUAGAAAUAUCACAAGUCGACAUUGAAUCUGAUGUGGCAACUUUGAUUAGGCAGAAUCAACCAUUGCUUUGCCACUUUGUAAUCCUCCUACAGUCUCCCCUCUUUCUACUGCAUUCUGCAACUGAGUUAUCCUGUUCUGUAGAGAAUGUUAAUGACAUUAUACUGCAGUCAGCUGCAAAUCUUAGUGGACAACUUACAAUUUUGUACACCCAACUGAAAGCAGGCAACAUACAACUUGAAAUGGUAAAGUUACAUGGGCUGCCAAGGUGCUGGGCACUUCUUGAAGGAUUAAUCUGGAAAUGAUGAACGGACAUAUCCCAUUGGUAUCAAAAGUGCUGGUUUCAUCUACAGAACUUUAGUUCCACAUUUAUCAUGGAUGCAGAAAAUAUCUAGAUUUUCAA